UCUUAGGGGGAACCUGUUGCAUUUUGUUAGUGGCGCCCAGGGCAAAAAUGUGAUAUCCCUGAUGUCAGAAAUCUCUUUUGGCUUUCAAAUAGAAAAUUGGUUUCAAAAUUAAAUGGUUUCAAAUGGCUGCCAUCUCAAAAAGAACGAACACAUCAGAAACAAUAUGAAUAGCUGCCGGUUGAAAAGAUAAAGCUUUAUUUGGAUCAAUGAAACAAGAUCCCAGCGACCAGAGGUAGCAGAAACCAAACAAACUCAGACAAGAAACACAGAAAUGUACAGGAAAUCAGAAAGCCUAAAAAAUACAUCAAGUUUAUCUAAACGUGAGAGUUAAUGGAACAUUAUCAUUAAAGUGCAACAGUCAUGCGGAAAUUCCCUCUUAAAGGGGUACUGC